CCCGGUGACCAUACCUGAAGGGCCAUACCUGUUCCCAUUCCGAACACAGAAGUCAAGCCUUUAGGGCCGAUGGUAGUGCAAAAAACGCGAGAGUAGGUUAUCGCCGGGC
rnacentral:rRNA from 1 species